CAGCCCAUUAAGUUAUGUGUGUUUUAGUGGAACGCUCUGGGAAGUGCGAACGUAGAGGGUGAUAUUCCCGUACACGAAAGGGCACACAUAAUGAUGACGAGUAGGGCGAGGCACGUGAAACCUUGUCUGAAUAUGGGGGGACCAUCCUCCAAGGCUAAAUACUCCUGACUGACCGAUAGUGAACCAGUACCGUGAGGGAAAGGCGAAAAGAACCCCUGUGAGGGGAGUGAAAUAGAUCCUGAAACCGCAUGCAUACAAGCAGUGGGAGCACCUUCGUGGUGUGACUGCGUACCUUUUGUAUAAUGGGUCAGCGACUUAUAUUCAGUAGCGAGGUUAACCGUAUAGGGGAGCCGUAGAGAAAUCGAGUCUUAAUAGGGCGUUUAGUUGCUGGGUAUAGACCCGAAACCAGGCGAUCUAUCCAUGAGCAGGUUGAAGGUUGGGUAACACUAACUGGAGGACCGAACCCACUGUCGUUGAAAAGCCAGGGGAUGACUUGUGGAUAGGGGUGAAAGGCUAAUCAAGCCUGGUGAUAGCUGGUUCUCCCCGAAAGCUAUUUAGGUAGCGCCUCGGACGAAUACCAUAGGGGGUAGAGCACUGUUUCGGCUAGGGGGUCAUCCCGACUUACCAAACCGAUGCAAACUCCGAAUACCUAUGAGUACUAUCCGGGAGACAGACUGCGGGUGCUAACGUCCGUAGUCAAGAGGAAAACAAUCCAGACCGCCAGCUAAGGCCCCAAAAUCAUAGUUAAGUGGGAAACGAUGUGGGAAGGCAUAGACAGCUAGGAGGUUGGCUUAGAAGCAGCCACCCUUUAAAGAAAGCGUAAUAGCUCACUAGUCGAGUCGGCCUGCGCGGAAGAUGUAACGGGGCUAAAACUAUGUGCCGAAGCUGCGGAUGUAUACUUUGUAUACGUGGUAGGGGAGCGUUCUGUAAGCCGAUGAAGGUGUGUUGAGAAGCAUGCUGGAGGUAUCAGAAGUGCGAAUGCUGACGUGAGUAACGACAAAACGGGUGAAAAACCCGUUCGCCGAAAGACCAAGGGUUCCAGUCCAACGUUAAUCGGGGCUGGGUGAGUCGACCCCUAAGGCGAGGCCGAAAGGCGUAGUCGAUGGGAAAAUGGUUAAUAUUCCAUUACUUCUGUGUAAUGCGAUGAGAGGACGGAGAAGGCUAAAUCAGCCUGGCGUUGGUUGUCCAGGUGAAAGGAUGUAGGCAUGUAUCUUAGGCAAAUCCGGGGUACUCUAUGCUGAGAUCUGAUAGCAAGCUGUACUUGUACAGCGAAGUGGUUGAUGCCAUGCUUCCAGGAAAAGUCUCUAAGCUUCAGUUACACAGGAAUCGUACCCGAAACCGACACAGGUGGUCAGGUCGAGUAGACCAAGGCGCUUGAGAGAACUCUGCUGAAGGAACUAGGCAAAAUGGUACCGUAACUUCGGGAGAAGGUACGCUGUUGUUGGUGAUGGAACUCGCUUCCUGAGCUGACGACAGCCGCAGAAACCAGGCCGCUGCAACUGUUUAUUAAAAACAUAGCACUCUGCAAACACGAAAGUGGACGUAUAGGGUGUGAUGCCUGCCCGGUGCUGGAAGGUUAAUUGAUGGGGUUAGCGUAAGCGAAGCUCUUGAUCGAAGCCCCAGUAAACGGCGGCCGUAACUAUAACGGUCCUAAGGUAGCGAAAUUCCUUGUCGGGUAAGUUCCGACCUGCACGAAUGGCAUAAUGAUGGCGGCGCUGUCUCCAGCAGAGGCUCAGUGAAAUCGAAAUCGCUGUGAAGAUGCAGUGUACCCGCGGCUAGACGGAAAGACCCCGUGAACCUUUACUGCAGCUUGACACUGAACUUUGACCUUACUUGUGUAGGAUAGGUGGGAGGCUUUGAAGCUGGAACGCUAGUUCCAGUGGAGCCGUCCUUGAAAUACCACCCUGGUAAUGUUGAGGUUCUAACUCUGUCCCGUGAUCCGGGACGAGGACCGUGUCUGGUGGGUAGUUUGACUGGGGCGGUCUCCUCCUAAAGAGUAACGGAGGAGUACGAAGGUGCGCUCAGCGUGGUCGGAAAUCACGCGUAGAGUAUAAAGGCAAAAGCGCGCUUAACUGCGAGACCCACAAGUCGAGCAGGUACGAAAGUAGGUCUUAGUGAUCCGGUGGUUCUGUAUGGAAGGGCCAUCGCUCAACGGAUAAAAGGUACUCUGGGGAUAACAGGCUGAUACCGCCCAAGAGUUCAUAUCGACGGCGGUGUUUGGCACCUCGAUGUCGGCUCAUCUCAUCCUGGGGCUGAAGCAGGUCCCAAGGGUAUGGCUGUUCGCCAUUUAAAGAGGUACGCGAGCUGGGUUUAGAACGUCGUGAGACAGUUCGGUCCCUAUCUACCGUGGGCGCUGGAAAUUUGAGAGGAUCUGCUCCUAGUACGAGAGGACCAGAGUGGACGAACCUCUGGUGUACCGGUUGUGACGCCAGUCGCAUCGCCGGGUAGCUAUGUUCGGAAGGGAUAACCGCUGAAAGCAUCUAAGCGGGAAGCCUACCUCAAGAUAAGAUUUCCCUAGGACUUUAUGUCCUCUAAAGAGCCGUUCGAGACUAGGACGUUGAUAGGUUGGAUGUGGAAGCAUAGUGAUAUGUGAAGCUGACCAAUACUAAUUGCUCGUGAGGCUUGACUAU
rnacentral:rRNA from 1 species